UAUAUACUCCCUUCGUCCCAAAAUUCUUGUCUUCAAUUUGUCUAGAUAUGAAUGUAUCUUGUCAAGUUUUAGUAUUCAGAUACAUCCAUUUCUAGACAAACCUAAGACAAGAAUUUUGGGACGGAGGGAGUAUAAG
rnacentral:pre_miRNA from 1 species